AAUCAACGCUGGCGGCGUGCCUAACACAUGCAAGUCGAACGCGAGAGGGGCUUCGGCCCCGAUUGAGUGGCGAACGGGUGAGUAACGCGUGGGUGACCUACCUUCGAGUGGGGGAUAACGUCCCGAAAGGGACGCUAAUACCGCAUAACAUCCUGCUUUUGAAUGGGUGGAGAUCAAAGCCGGGGAUCGCAAGACCUGGCGCUUGAUGAGGGGCCCGCGUCUGAUUAGCUAGUUGGGAGGUAACGGCCCACCAAGGCAACGAUCAGUAUCCGGCCUGAGAGGGCGGACGGACACACUGGGACUGAGACACGGCCCAGACUCCUACGGGAGGCAGCAGUGGGGAAUUGUUCGCAAUGGGCGCAAGCCUGACGACGCAACGCCGCGUGGAGGAUGAAGGUCUUGGAUUGUAAACUCCUGUUGCCCGGGACGAAUGGCUCCGACCUAACACGUCGGAGUGUGACGGUACCGGGUGAGGAAGCCCGGCUAAUCUGUGCCAGCAGCCGCAGUAA
rnacentral:rRNA from 1 species